CCUGUAGAUUCUGGCUGGCUGGUAGACAAGUAUCAUGCACUGCGUUUUGAGUUGGUAAAUGGUAAGGUCAGUUUUAGAGUUUGUUGAUUUGAAUUGGUUGGUGGGGUACAAUGAAUGUCCAGUUAUUUUGAUAUGGGAAUUAUUAGGGCUAGAUAUAGGAUUUGGGAGCCAUCAUCAUCUCUAGUUUAACUCUAAAAAUGGCUAAAAUAUCCAAGAAAAUGAUAAACUGAGAGAGGAACAGUGGCUGUAACACAGAACCUGGGAAGAGUGCUGACGGUGUGGGAGGUGAGUGAAGGAAGAGGCUUCCAUAAGAAGUCAUCAGGGAUGUAAGAGAAGGGCAAGAAGCAGAGAUGUUUUGGAAAGUGAUGGAAGUGAGUAUGGCCAGAAUAAGGAAGGUGACACUCAGCAGGAGAAAUGCUUCAGAACUACAAAUCCUAAAAAGACUGAUGGAACCUAGCUGCUGAGAGAUCUUCUUGACUGUAGAGACCUGUACUGUAUAAGAUGUGGCCACUGAGCACUAGAGGUGUGGCUGGACCAUGCUGCAAUUUGCUAUAAGCAUAAAGUUCACACCUCCAAAGAGUUUCCCUCAUGACUCAUUUCAGUCUCCUACAGUGAUUCAGACUACAGCCUGGAGGUGAGAGUGACGGGCGGUCUCAGCAUCCUAACCACUGCCGUGUCUUCCGUGUUGGAGAAGUUCUCCUACAUCCUCGAGGACAAGGUUAGCUGCUACGGGCAGACCGAGAAGCCAGAGGCCCCACUGCAUACUCUUUGCCACUUCUUGGUGUCCAGCGUUGCAGCAUUCUUCCUCGGAUGCCGUGUAGAGCCCCGGCGCUGGACUUGGAACAAGGAGGUGAGCUCCAUGAUGAGCAACACCUGCAGAAAGGCUGGGCCGCUGGUGUCUGAGGAGUGGUAGUGGAUUCACUGGGCCUCUGACUCAGGUUCAUCCAUCCUCGCCUGAAUGUGGUGAAUUAAGACUUUGUUCCUACUGGUCAGCAGUAACUAGUGUUGUCCUUGAAGAGUCAUCCCUCUGGCUUCAUUUCCCCUGGGAUUGCUAUUGUGGUGACUCCUCCUCAUCACUCCUCCUCAUCCUCCAGGUCUCAGCUCAAGGGCUGGCUCUGAGGAGGCCACCUGUGACCCCCCAGUAAGUUUAUUCUGCACACCUUUGCCCUUCAAAUUCCUACUGGCUUUAUAGGAGUUGAUGAUCAGUGUGUGUGGUUUCUAUGUUUUGCAACAUUUAUUUGUUUAAAUGAGGAGUGGGGAUGAAAAAGAGAUAUUUUCAGAUCCUCCAUCUGCUGAUUCACUCCCCAAAGGCCAGCAAGAGCUGCGGAUGGGCCAGGCUGAAGCCAGAAGCCUGGAGCUAGGAACCUUGGUCCUCAAGUACUGGAGCCAUCAUAUAUCAUCUCUCGGGUAUAUUAGCACAAAACCUGGAUCAGAAGUGGAGUGGCCAGGACUCAACUAGGCACUCCACUAUGGGAUAUGCACAUCCCAAGCAGCUGCUGAACCUGCUGAGCCAAAAUACUCACCCCUAUGUGUGUAUUUGAAGAACUGCAUUAAAUGUAUUUUAUUUGAAAGGCAUCAUGCACAGACGCGCACGCACGCGCACACACAGAGAGAGAGAGAGAGAGAGAACUCUUAUCUGUAUUUUCACUGCCAAAAUGUCCACAACAGCAGGAGCAGGGCCAGGCCCAGCAGGCCAGAACUCAGAGUUUCCCAUGUGAUGGCAGGAACCCAAGCACUGCUGCCUCUCAGGGUGCACAUUAGCAAGCUGCUGGAAUCCACAAGGGAGCUGGGACUGGAACCAAAGCACCCCCCAUUAGGUUGGGAGCAUCCCCAGACAAAUCUUACUUCUGGGCCAAACGACCCCCCCAUAUCAAUGUUGAAUACGCAACAAAAGGAUGAAUGAAUGAAUGAAUGAGUGGCAAAGGGUUAGGAAGACAGGCACAUGGAAUUUGCUGUUUCCCAGGGCUCUGCAGCAUGAGUGAGAAGGGCUUUUUGCCUCUCGUUGUUUCCUGCUUGGGAGCUCACCAGGGAAACUCAACUCUGAGUGCUUCUGCAGCCUUGCUUUUGCUUUGCAGAGUCUUGUAGAACAAAGCCCUCAUGGCCCUUGCUUUACUUGUUUCUUUACCAAAGUGGAUUUUGUAAGACUUGUAUUUCAGCUUUGCAAAACAGUGUUGCCAAGAAUGUUCACCUGGGGAGGCCAAGCAGCCUCUUUCAAGAAACUGACAUGUUUUGUCUACUAUUGCUCUAGAAAGGAUAGGGCCGGGCCCCAGGC